rnacentral:rRNA from 1 species
GACGGAGGGUGCGAGCGUUGUCCGGAAUCACUGGGCGUAAAGGGCGCGUAGGCGGCUGGGGAAGUCGGCGGUGAAAGCCCGGAGCUCAACUCCGGGUCGGCCGUCGAGACUCCUCGGCUCGAGCUCACUAGAGGCAGAUGGAAUUCCGGGUGUAGCGGUGGAAUGCGUAGAGAUCCGGAAGAACACCGGUGGCGAAGGCGGUCUGCUGGGGUGAGGCUGACGCUGAGGCGCGACAGCGUGGGGAGCAAACAGG